CUUUCGCAAGGGGGAAUUUAGAUUCAAGAUUUCAGACUCAGCCAAGCUUCAUCAGAUUCAACCUACAAACAUUUCUUAAGGCUUUGAGCAUCAGAAAGAUUAGCACUGCUAUUCCGAUUCAGAGAUAAGGUUAAACGACAGGCUUUGCCUAUACAGGUUGAGUAGCUGCCGAUGGUGAUGAAGUGACGAGCGGGACUCUUUUGUCUUAUUAUGUAUUAAUGAACUCUAGGGAUACAUGUCUUCAUACAUGUAAUCAGAACCUUAUUCCGCUGCGUACUCAGAAGUUUUAUGUUAUUUUGGCUAAGUCGGAGUUAUCCGAAACUUACUAGUUAUUUGAGUCUCUACGACUAAACCUCCGUUAUAUUAUAAAUAUCCCUUUUGUUUACAAUGAUGAAAUACGAUCCUUCCUUGUUUGAUUAUUCCCCUUUCUACCCCGCUUCUAAUCUCCCUCCAUUAGUCACGGUUUCCCCGGCUUAAUUAUCCUUAAUUAGGGCCGGUCGUGAC